AUGCACAAGCAGGCCCGGCCGGAGGAGCCCACUGCCUAACUGUGCUUUGUGCAGCUCUCAGGGCACGCCACGGUGCCCACCCAGGGGUCCACACACACUGCCGGCUAAGAGCUGUACAGUGCCUAUGAUUAUGAAGUACCACCUAUGGAGAAAGCUGUUGUGAAAACAUUCAGAUAGCUGUUCCUUCUGGGUGCUAUGGAAGAGUAGCUCCACAUUCUGGCUUGGCUGUAAAACACUUCAUAGAUGUAGGAGCUGGUGUCAUAGAUGAAGAUUAUAGAGGAAAUGUUGGUGUUGUGCUGUUUAAUUUGGAGAAGGAGAAGUUUGAAGUAAAAAAAGGUGAUCAAAUUGCACAGCUCAUUUGUAAACGGAUUUUCAAUGCAGAAUUAGAAGUUCAGGCUUUGGCUGACACUGAAAGGGGUUCAGGAGGUUUUGGUUCUACUGGUAAGAAUUGAAAUUUUGGCCAAGAAUAAAAAAUGAAAGAAACCUGUUUCUUCUGAAAAAAUGAAG